GUUUAUGCAUGCAUACGCGUAGCAGGCGGCGUCGGCAGCAGACGGUUCCUAGCAGCGCUGGUGCUGCUGUUGCUGCUGCUGCAACGAUUUAGCGGCGGCAGUAGCAGCACCGCAGCGCAACGGCAGCAGCGGCCAACUAUGAUGUUCUUCGCUAGUUGGCCCACACACCACAGGCCACAGGAACAAGUUGUCCGCUGCUGCUGGGGUGUCUUUUUGCCGUUCGGUUUGUUCCUGAAUACGUAUCGAAGCAACCCCUGCCGAAUCGUACGAUACAGUUGUUCGCCUCGCAACAGUUGCUAGCCGGUUCCAGCAGUUAUGGUCAGUGGCAGUGUCGCGAGUUUGCAAAUUCUAACCCGGAAGGAAAAGCGAGCGUACGGCAUCGUGCGUGCUAGUGUAUGUGCGAGUUCAAGUGGUCAGCCGGUGGUGAUUCGCUCAAGGAGUGCAAUGAUGGGCCACGGUCAGCCUGUACCAUGUACGUUACGUUGUCGUCGGUGCGUUCGUUCGAUUGGGAAAAUGUUUAAAGCAAACACUGCUGCUUCAACGAGGAUCACAGCAGGCAGUCGGAAAACGCAAAAGAAAAACAAACCCCACUCACCAGUGAUGGUCGUACCGAGAGAGCGUGUGUGUUGUCCUUCUCCGAAACCAUGACCGGUGUGAAAUGUGUCAGUUUUCGUUUGUUUAUUAUCCUGCGACUCUGUCAACAAUGGUGGACACCACACGUUCAUGGAUUGUUGCUUUGUUAACAAGCGUGUGUUGAAGUGAAUGCAAGCUGCUGCGAAAGUAAAAACCGCAGAUACAUCCUAGCAUGACCUCUCGGUACUGGUCAACAGGAAUGCGUGGCUAUGUUUAAUUACACACCCGUGCAAUGGAGCAUUAAAUCAACAUGCAACAUCGUCAUCGAGCAACAAAACAAAAAUGUGGUUAAGUUUAUAGUGAUUUUUGUUCCUACGUUUAUUGAAAUGCUUUUUCGUGCAAUCGUCAAACUUUGCGCUUUUGGAACUGUGUUGUUUUUCUUCUUCGUUUUGUAACAAAACAAUCGUCAUUUAUAGUUUGCACGCAUGCAUUCAUGUAAACAAACCUGUGAAGCAUUAGUUUCUUCGUCAUCAUCAUCACCUGAUAAACAAAGUUCAUGAAAGGAUACGACAGGACAGACGACGAACGGGCGCGUGUUGAGUGUGUACUCUCUCGCUUCACCAAUGAUAAGCACAAAUGUGAAUGCGAAGCUCAGCUGUUUGUGUUGUACCGUGUAGUGAAACAUCUUUUCAACGCAAGUGAUUUCAAUACGAAAGCAGCACGAAUGAAGAAGUUUUGUUACUGUUAAUGUUGAUGACCCACGGACAUUGAAUUAUUUUUUUUGGGGGAAAAAAUUAUGCAACAAAACCCGACUCCCGAUGAUAGUUGUGUGCUAAUUUGUUUAGAAUAAAACUGCACCGUGGCUAUGCGCUUUCCUUAAACGUAAGCGCAUUGUCCAUAUGAAAACUUGAAAAACCAGCGCUUUGAUUGGCAUAUUGAAGGGGUCGGCAUUUUUGAGGCAGAGGUAUUUUCUCCAAUUGAAAAUAGAGAGAAGGGCGAAUACAUCUACAACCAAUCAACGAAAUACUUUUUUAUUUUUUUAAGCAUAUUUUUGACGCGAUCCUGAAUUAAAAUAUACUGUUGGAAGUGUUCCAAUUACACAUCGGAAUAAUUUAUAUGAUUUCACCAUUUUCUGGAGACUGAGAUGAACUGGAGGAUAUAUAAGAGAACUAGCAAAGUAUGCACCAUCAACUUAACGAGCGUACCAACGACAUCAACUAACGGAAAAUUGUUGGUGGAAACAAAAAAUCAACAUCCACUUAUAGUCAGAACAUGAACAAAAUGAUCGGACACAUUCAAACGGCCACGCAUGCAAAACGAUCCUUCGUGCCGCUUCAUCCAACCGGAGGAAAAAUUAUAAACAAGCGCUUGCAUGCACUGCAUCACAGCAAGAACGUGGAAAAAAUGAAAAGAAAAUUGCAUCGAAAACACGAUUCAUACCGAUAACCGACCUGCGUCAUACUCGCAAACAAGUAAGCAAACAUGAAAUGAUGAAAGGAGAAGCAAAAAAAGCACAGAUAAACAGAAGAAAUGCAACAAUUAAGUUCCUACUCUAAAAUAAAGAAAAAAAUGAAACAUGAAACAUAGAUAAAAAUAUACGUUAUAAACGAGAGUGUAAUAAUUGUACUAUUUAGGCGCAUGAAUUUAUCCCGAACCCGGAUUGUUCGAUGUUUUUGGGAGUGAGGAAAAAAAACAAAUGGAAGAUAGAAAACGGAAAGACAUACCUAAAUCCACAUAAGACGCAUAUACAAAUGUGAGAGAGAGAGAAAAAAAAGCAGCAAAACACAUCGUGGUCGCAAAUCGUGAUGAUGUAAAUGUAAAGUUACAAGAGACUGAACGUUUGCCGUAGAGCCGCGGCGUUUGAUUGAUGCUUGUGUGUUUAUCUGUUUAUUACAAACAGUCGAAAAUUAAAAAGAAAAGAACAACACAACUUUCCUUUUAGCCGAUAUUUCUUUUCCAGUAAAAUAAAUCUGAAGAGUAGUUUUACUAUUGAACUAGAUUGCAUACGUUAAGAAGCACCUUUGACCGCAGUGGUUUUUCGUUAACGGAACCUACAAGGUGGUAUCCGGACUGUUCGACGUUAAAAAUACUGCGCGCUUUUAAAGGUUAAACUUAAAAUAUGUAGUUUGAAGAUUACAAAGUAUAAAUUAUGGAAGGUUUAUUACUCUAAUCACUUAAGAACAGAAGGCCAAAGAACAACACAAGCACAUGCAAGCAAACAGCCACAUGCCGUUGCUCGCGGCAGACAGAACAGUUUUGACACCUCGCUUGUUCCCAUCUUAAAACAAAAUAAGAUGAGAUCUAGAAUUCUACUAACUAUAAUAUGUAGUACUAAGAAAGUUACGCUGCAGAAGUUAAGACAAGUUCGUUUAAAAGAAAAUAACAAACAAACAAAAUUACACAACACUACAUGGUCUACGCGACAGAAACGGAAAUGGCGUGAUUUUAUGCGUAAGAAAGCAGAACGUGGAUGAAUAAUUGUAUAAAGUGAAGGAGUAGAUGGAAGACAUGUAACAAAUGUGCAGUAAAGAAUGCACAAAACACGAAUAAUUGUAACGAAAUGCUAUACUGUGUGUGUGUUUGUAAUUAACUUGAAAUUGAAACAAAAGAAGCGUAGAUACGAGAUUGAUCUUCAUGCGAUUAGCGUCAACCGAGGACUGGACUUAUGAUUGUUGUACCAUACCAUCGUUAAACAUUUCUUGUGCAUGACGGGGCUCACGAAGAAACCCCCACAGCUUGAUGCACUUGUAGAAAGAUCCACCAGGUGUUUGGUUCGCUCCCUGCACGCACGCCUAAUUUGAUGCGGGCGAUUUUCGAAACAUUGCACAUUAACAGCUGUUUCCAUUCAUAGCAGCCGAUAGGAUACCGUUUGGACCGGUAAGCGGAACACACUACAUCUAACAGCCGUUCCACUACGGAAGCUCUGUGACCGUCAACAAGAUAAGCAUUGCGAUUGUACUUAAUUAUUGUAGUCGGCUUAUCCAUACACUUGAGCAUAUUUUAUAAAACGAACACAUAAAAAAAAACAAAAAAAAACACAAAAAACAUAAAAAACUCUCAAAAAAAUGUAUUACCGAGUGCAUAAAAUAGAUGGAAGUUAAAUCAAAUAUUCAUACAUAAUCACUGAAACUAUCUAUUUCUCGAAUGAUCUCCCUGGCCGAUUCGCAGAAUAAAGCCAGCAAUCGAGUGCGUUCGAUCGCUGCUUGUCUCACGAUACACGAUCAAGUGCAGAGAGAAAAUGCAUAUAAACGGAUGUGCAAUUUAACUAUUUGUUCGGUGGGAUUGUGUGCGAUUAUUCAAAGAUCAACACUUCGAUGUGAAAAUAGUGAAGAAAUGAAAUGAAACAGACCAAGGGAUGCUGUGCUAAAUAUAUGCGAGGAGGCGCACUGUCCUUUUAUCUCUUUCGUUGAAAAAAGAAAAACUCACAGUGGUGAAGCUGCAAACUUCAAACCAAUUUCCUGAAGUCGACAGGAGAAUGGAUUCAAGAUUGGCUCAAGGUGAACCAGCUGAAAAAGAAAACAAUUGUACCGAUUGAUUGACAUGGAAUAUUUUUUUAGCUUUAUAGAGAUGAUAAUGAAGAUGAGGGUAGUAUUAGAUAGUGGCUAAGCGGUACCACUAACUGAUGAAAAGUUCCUAUAACGCAUCUCCCGUAUUCUUCGAGUCGAUCGAGAAUGGGUAUGCGAUAAUUUACAUUAAUAUUACAUACAUUAUAAAACACAGACACACACACUUCAGCGUGAAUAAGAAUACUGUAUUAGUACUAUUAUAACAAUCGUAAUGGUAAAGUAUAUUGUUUAGUUUAAUUUGCGAUUUUAUUAUGCGAUGCGAUGCAUUAGUACAUAGAGAAACAUUAAAAACGUACGCAUGUGCUAGUAAAACAGCAACUCUACUGAUGAGCUUAGAGUUAGCUUCAGCUUAAAGAACUUCCCCACACGGUCCAAACAGAGACGUACAUAAAGAGAUGAAACACGGUGCAAUGUGCUAAAGAAGAUACAAAUAUGAACUUUCACCAACAUUUACCACCAACUACGUGUAUGGAGAGAGCUUACCUGCUGGAUCAGAACGCAACUGCAACUAGCUUUUGGAUCGUAAAACAUUCCAUGGCCAACUAAUGACAGAAUGCGUGACGCACCAUAGCAUGCAUCUGUCUAUUUGAAAGAACAAUCAAUCAUAGUGAACGAAUUUUCAACUACUUCGUGAACAAUUUCGUGUGUAACGGAUAUUUGUUUUUAUUUAACUUUCGCACAUAGCGCUGCACAGUCCAGUGAUGGUGUUUAGUUUAAUGUAAAAAUAUGAAUAAACAGUUCCCCGGCACGUUUACACACACACACAGAUACAAAUACACACCAUGAAGGCAUUGUUUUAUGAGGUAACACGUACUCCAACUGAUACCAAAAUUGAAUGUUGCGAAAACAUGGCAAUUGAUACUCGCGAAAACAACAAUAAUAGUUUACUAGGUUGAAUAGAAGGAAAAAAAUGUAUGUUUGUGUGAUUCGAACAUGACGAGGGAUGAACAUUUAUGGCAAAACCGCACAUAACUUUAAAUGAAACGUAUUUGGUUCCUAUUCGAGAGAAGGAGAGAAUGAGCAGAACAAAAGAAGAAAAGAGACAACGUUUGAAACAAUACGAGAAAAAUAUAACACAAUAAGCAAAUGAAAGGAAGAUCUGAAAAAUACAACAAUUCGGUGAAACCACAUCAGGAAAACAUCAAAACCAGCAAAACACAGAAUCAAACUAAUACGCCCCGAAAACGCAAACACAAAAAGCCAAAAACAUGCGGAUGAAGUGAAAAAAAAAACUGAAACACUCGAAAGACUCGACAUAUCAUGAAUGAUUACUUUUGCCCUCGCAUUAAAAAAGUGAAAAUAAGCAAAUUUUUAAAACCGGUCAGCAGCAAACAAGAAAAAAAAGGUGAAUAGAUAAGGGAAGGAGACGUAUAAAACGUUCUUUCAUGUGUCAAAUGUCAACCAAUGUAACACACUAUUAUUACUACCACUAGUAAUACAACUAUUGCUACCAAUACUACUACUACUACUAACCGCUACCUACAACACUACUAACAAACUUACUCGAAACAGCAGGGCGCAAAGAACGCGAUACAUAGCGUACUUCGUUAAUCGUUCCGUUGGUCGUUUAUUUUGCACGAGCAAAACGUUGUGAUCUAUUUCUUGCUUUAUGUCAAUCCAAAACAAAAACAAAAGCAAAAAGCUAAUCGAAGGCCAAGACAAAACCAUGCAAAACCAACAACCUCUACUACAAAGUUCCUGUUCCCUUGUUUUUUUGGUGUCCGAUCGCACAGGGGAAUGAUCGGCGCCCAAGGGAUAAUUGUUUAUUUAUGUUUUGUUUUUUGCUAAAAUAUUUGUUAGUUUUGUUUUGAGACCAAUUCAUUUCAAAUCUAAUGUUUUUCUUUUAUUUUUUAAAAAUCGAUUUAAAAAGAUCCUUAUUGAAGGGCUUUGCUUCCGAUAAAUGUGAAUUGGCAUUGGACAGACAAAAACACACUAAUGUUUAGUUAAAGGUAGUCUACGAAUUUGGACAAUGAUUGCGACACACGAUCAUAAUAGGUCGAACAACAGGAAAACUCUAACAGAAACACUUCAAAUUUUAUCCUAAUGGACACUGAAACUACUAAAAGUGAAGUGUAGCUCCUUCUGGGUUGAAUUUAUUUGAAGUGUUUCGAGUUUUCUUACGCGUGAUAGAACAUAGAAGGGUGAAUAGUAUUUACCCGAAGCUACCAUGUUGUAAGGAUGGCUUGAAACAUAGCUUAAACUUAACACUGUCGUUGAUCGCUUCGGAUAAACACAUCCCUCUUCUAUCUAAGAAUCAAUCAAUCAACCCACGUGUAAUCUGCAUGUAUGUAACCAGAGAAAAUGAUAAAAAUUAAAACACACAGACACAAACUUAACGAAAAUGGUAAAAAGAGUUCCUAAUAAUUAAGUGCACUAACUACAUUUGCACUCGCAGAAUGUAAUGAUCGUUAGAGUUGCGAAUGUUUAAUUUUUUGUUGUUUUGUUUGUUUGAAAUCUGAUUUUCAUGUAUUUAGUUUGUUAUACACAGUUUGUAAUGUGGUUUUAUGUUGUUUAAACUACUCGGUGACAUACUACAACGUUACUCUUUUAUGAUAUUUUAGCAAUACUGCAUUUUAUGUACACUUUAUUACACCAUCAAGCACAGCAGAACUACUAAACCACUGCAUUGUGAGCAUUGUUUGAUAAGUUUAAUGUACGCGAAAUUGUAAAGAAAAAAUGAAAACAAAAUAUGGUGAAAAGUAACUAUUAGCUGUAGGAACCGAAUUCAGCGCAGAGAAGCGCAACAUGAUCAUCUGCUGUCGUUUCUGAUAAAGACAAUUUUCUACUAUCGUUUCCGAUAAAGCAGAAAACUGAUGCAGAACGAAAGGAUUUAUGUUUUACGUUCAUAAUGCAUCCCAGACACACAUACACACACGAUCAGCAUAAAAAUAUUUUUUAGUCUGCCGCAACACAACGGACAAGGAAAGGACAGCAAAAAUAUAAAAUAGUUCAUGCACAAAAAAAACAUAUGCAAGCAAAACUAAACAGUCAUACAGGAAUAUCGUGCAGUACCGAACACAAAACGAUGUUAACCCGUUUCUACAUGUCACUUGGCAGAAGGAAAGGAGAUUUAGCACUAUAACCAAUGAUUUGGUCAUUUGCUUUCACUCACUCCUGUCUCUGUUUCAUCUUCCACCAGAAACUUCGACUUCAUCUAAACUAAAACGCUAACUAAUACAAGUAGCGUGGCAUGGAAAACAAUACUUCAAACCUAAACUUACUUAUUCUAACAAAUUGAUGAACGAAACGGAAUGUAACGGGAUAGAAACCCCGAACAAUUUAGCACAAAUGGAGAUACAUUGACGGAAACAAAAACACGAAAAUACACUCUCGAACACUUGCAGAAAAAAUAAAUCUACUUACAUUGUAUAAGAUAUAUUGUCAGAUGUAAAAGAAGAAAAAUAAACUUAUUUGGUAGUCAAGAUUGGAGAA